UGAGAGUCAGAAUACCCUUCCAUCCAAGCCGUAACACUCAGUAUUCUUUGGCCCCCGAGUGCCAUGAUCCAUCCCUGUCCAUCCCAUCGGAUCUGUGGAAAUGCCUACAGCUUUUGGUCAGACCUUCGAUGUUCUUCAAAGGACCACGCGCUGAAGGCUUGGUCCCCAGCCCUUUGUGGUGUUGGUGGCACUCUUAGCAGACACUUUCAUGUUGCAGUGUGGAUGCUGGAAGUCAUCUAGUGGAUCACCAAGCUUAUUCCUUGAGAUGGAUAAAGAACUGAGCAUCCAGGAAAGACAGAAGCUCAAUAUGUGUGCUCUCGCCAUUCCUGCCGGCUGCCGCAUUUUCCCACUGUGAUGGUGAUGGACUCAUCUCCCUGGAACCAUAAGCCCAAAUAAACCCUCCCUUUUAUAAGUU